rnacentral:rRNA from 1 species
GUGGGGAAUCUUGCGCAAUGGGCGAAAGCCUGACGCAGCCAUGCCGCGUGAAUGAUGAAGGUCUUAGGAUUGUAAAAUUCUUUCACCGGGGACGAUAAUGACGGUGCCCGGAGAAGAAGCUCCGGCUAACUUCGUGCCAGCAGCCGCGGUAAUACGAAGGGGGCUAGCGUGGCUCGGAAUUACUGGGCGUAAAGGGCGCGUAGGCGGAUAGUUUAGUCAGAGGUGAAAGCCCAGGGCUCAACCUUGGAAUUGCCUUGGAUACUGGCUAUCUUGAGUAUGGAAGAGGUAUGUGGAACUCCGAGUGUAGAGGUGAAAUUCGUAGAUAUUCGGAAGAACACCAGUGGCGAAGGCGACAUACUGGUCCAUUACUGACGCUGAGGCUCGAAAGCGUGGGGAGCAAACAGGAUUAGAUACCCCUGUAGUCC